rnacentral:rRNA from 1 species
AUGAGCGACGCCUCCGCCGCCGGCCAGGGCGCCCUGGGCGCCUCCUCGUCCGGCGACGCUUCGUCGCCGGCGCCCUUAACCAUCCACAACGUGGACAUCCUCACCCACGUCCCCGCCAAGCUAGACUUCGACGCCGACAACUACGCCGAGUGGAGGGACGGCAUGCUCUCCGCGCUCGCCGAGUUCGGCGCCGUCGACCACGUCGAGGAGGAGCAGGCCCACUCCCUGCACGACGGAGACGAGGAGUGGAUGCGUGCCGACGUCACCAUCGUCCUCUGGAUCUACACCACCAUCUCCGACGAGCUGCUGGACGAGGUCAUGGCCGCCCACAGCACCGCCUUCGAGGUCUGGGCCCAGCUGCGCGGCUUCUUCGAGGACGAGGGCGCGUUCGACCCCGCCGAGGAGCUCCGCACCGCCGCGCAGGGGGACAUGUCUGUCAACGCCUACGGCUGGCGCCUCAAGGCGCUGGCCCGGGCCGUCGCCGACGCCGGUGGUGAGCCCGUCUCCGACACUGCGCUGGCCCUGCAGCUGCUCCGCGGGGUUACCCCCAGGCUCCGAGUCAUGGGCACCUCCUUGCUCGUCAAUGACCGCUUCCCCAGUUUCAUGGAGGCCUUAUCGUGA